UCUCCUGGAAACGGGUGGUAAUGCCGGAUGCUCCAUCACACCGCAUGGUGUGUUGGGAAAGCCUUUGCGGCAUGGGAUGGGGUCGCGUCCUAUCAGCUUGAUGGCGGGGUAACGGCCCACCAUGGCUUCGACGGGUAGCCGGCCUGAGAGGGCGACCGGCCACAUUGGGACUGAGAUACGGCCCAGACUCCUACGGGAGGCAGCAGUGGGGAAUAUUGCACAAUGGGCGCAAGCCUGAUGCAGCGACGCCGCGUGAGGGAUGGAGGCCUUCGGGUUGUAAACCUCUUUUGUUAGGGAGCAAGGCACUUUGUGUUGAGUGUACCUUUCGAAUAAGCACCGGCUAACUACGUGCCAGCAGCCGCGGUAAUACGUAGGGUGCAAGCGUUAUCCGGAAUUAUUGGGCGUAAAGGGCUCGUAGGCGGUUCGUCGCGUCCGGUGUGAAAGUCCAUCGCUUAACGGUGGAUCCGCGCCGGGUACGGGCGGGCUUGAGUGCGGUAGGGGAGACUGGAAUUCCCGGUGUAACGGUGGAAUGUGUAGAUAUCGGAAAGAACACCA
rnacentral:rRNA from 1 species